rnacentral:lncRNA from 1 species
CUAUUUCAAAGCGUCACCUGGUCUGUGGUAACUGUUGAAUCACAGUCUGAGCCACUGAUUAUCACCUAGGGAAGGGACCUGGUCAGCCCUGGUUAGUGCAGGUGAGGGCAAUGCAGCUGAGUGACUGGAAGGGAUGGAGCCUGGCUGCACCUCUCUUACAGCUCAUUUUUGAAGGCUGACUGCCACUAGAGAAGGAUAUCUGGUUGAGGAUCCCUCCCUUGUGAGUUUUCCUUGUGAGUCUUGAUCUUUGGAGAUAGGUGAGCACUUUUCCUUUCUAACACCUUUCCAUUCAAGCUAGUCCCUUUGCUACUACGCUCCUGUAUCAUCUUUCCACCACGCUGACCUUUCUGAUAGUUAUACCCAGCGAAGAUCACAAGUUAUCCCAAUGAAAAGCCCACACAUAGACUUUUUCCUGGAUACAGUUUCAUCUUGCAGCCUUGAAUGUACAAAGAUGCAGACUUGCUGAGGUGAAUGUUACAUGUUUCUUAUCUAAGGUCAGUGCUUGGUUUCAGCAUACUUCCUGUUAUGUGUGAUGCUCGGUUACUAACGUGAAUCAUUGGGAUAGCUGCUAUUGAGCUCAUGCAACUUUCAUAACAUCACGGAACUUCUAUUCAAUAUGUCAUAAUGGCAGGAUCGAAUAAGCCUCUGGGCCAGUGAUUCCCCUUGGUCUGGGAGGUGGCUGGGAAGCAGAUUUUGCCCUGCUCAUUUCUGAAGGUCAGAAAGUUGGGUUAAGGCUGUGCAUGGGAGCAGCACUUUGCGCAUGGUUACAUCGUAGACCAGAGAACCAGGGAUCCAAACAGUUCAUCUCUCCUUCAGCCAGCUGGCUGGGACAUGUCAGCUGCUCUGAAACUCAGCUCACAGCCUCAUAAAACGAUGUUAAUAGUGGUGUUUGCUGGGCUGCAAGCUGAGCCUGAUUCUAGAUCUGCUGGAAAUGCCAGGCAGGGGAUGCCUCCACGCUUCCAUAUUGCUGCAUUUGGAUUGGCUUCUCCAAGAGCUGCAAAUAAACAAGUUGAUGGCCUGAUUUUAUCAGCCACACAGGAAGGUGAAUAUAAAAGAACCAAGGAAAAAAAAAAAAAAAAAAAAAAAGAGGAAGAAGAAAGAGGAAAGGGGAUUCAAAUUAACAGCGAUCCCAAUUCCCUGAGUUUCAGUUAAACAAUCUCAUUAAUCCUGUCUGCAGUGCAUGUACUAUGCCUGUGCUCCCCGCUCUGACAGGUCCCCAAAUCACAUUCACUGC